CAGGAGACUCUCCUGAAAGUGUCACCCUCAAAUUUGGUCAAUGUAAGGAAAGCUGUUUAGCAGGUAGACCAUGGCAGUUUUCAGUGACUUCAUUAGGCCUCGCUGAAAUAACUCUUAUAUCCUGGAAAGCCUUAGCUUCUUCUGUGAUGUCACAAGUGUCCUGACUGCAACCGCCUCUCAGGUAUCCCUUGAGGACCUCUAGGGUUCACUAAUUGGCCUUUAAUAUAUUGUAUACAGCCAUUUGAGAGGGAGAACACAGAGGAUGAAGUGAUCAGACAUGGGGAAUAUGAAGCUGGCCUUCUGUCUUGGGUAUGGACUGAAGAAACUGAAGGGGAGGGCAGCCUCUAUAGGAAGACCAACAGUCUCGAAUCAUCCCCACCCCUGAGAUCUCCCAGACACUAAGCCACCAACCAGGGUAUCUUUGAACUUGGGACAUCUUGCCACAUUCUAGGUGCUGAGACUACAUUCAGAUUCCCUUAACCCAAUCACCAUCCUUUUCUGAUUUCUUCUUUCAAAGAGUCAAAACAACAGGAGUUAUAAGGCAUGUUCAGUCCCUGAAUAGCUGUUCAUAUGGCCAUGCAUUUGAAAAUCUACAACAUUGAUAAUGCAGACAUCAGGAAAUAUCAUUCAAAAAUGAUCUUUAAAUAUUAAAUAAUCUCCACUUAUCAGCUAACAACUAUCAGCUUUACAAAACAGGAAGAAUCCAAGAGGAAAAAUAUCCUUGUAAUGUACGUAGAUAAAAUUGAUCAGAUAAGAAGGAAAUCAGAGAGCAACCUUCCUGGAUUCAACACAAGAGAGCCUCAGUUCCUGUAGUGUAUUCGACAGCAGUCUAGCAUGGCUUCCCUCUGUGAGAUUCCACUAAGCUGCUGACUCAGACAGAAGCAGGCAUCAUCUAGUCAAACCACGGUGGAGCUUGGGGACUCUGAUGGAAGAAGAGAAUGAAAAGGAU